AGAAAGUAACGAAAAAACGUAAAUACUGCUAAUCCUUAUGCCCGAGGUUAAAAUCCUCGGCUUUCUU
rnacentral:tRNA from 1 species